AUUGAACGCUGGCGGCAGGCCUAACACAUGCAAGUCGAGCGGAGCGGCGGACGGGUGAGUAAUGCCUAGGAAUCUGCCUGGUAGUGGGGGAUACCGUCCGGAAACGGGCGCUAAUACCGCAUACUUUCAGAUGAGCUUAGGUCGGCUUAGCUGGAUGGUGGGGUAAUGGCUUAACAAGGUGACGAUCAAGAACUGGUCUGAGAGGAUGAUCAGUCACACUGGAACUGGUACACGGUCAAGACUCCUACGGGAGGCAGCAGUGGGGAAUAUUGGACAAUGGACGAAAGCCUGACCCAGCCAUGCCGCGUGUAUGAAGAAGGCUUUAGGGUUGUAAAGCACUUUCAGCGGGGAGGCGUUACCCGCAGAAGAAGCACCGGCUAACUCCGUGCCAGCAGCCGCGGUAAUUC
rnacentral:rRNA from 1 species